UUAUUUCAUAAUGCCGUUUUUCAUUUCCAGAGACUUAUUUCAUAAUACCGAUAGAAGUAAAAAGGCUCUAUCAGAGUCCUGCCUUAUGUUCUCCUGACAAUUGUGACUAUGCUGAGGAGAUUUUGAAACUCUUUGUAACAUAUUUUGCUGCAAUUUAUGGCACUGAAUUUGUCAGCUAUAACAUGCAUUCAUUGAUCCACCUAGCUCAAGAUGCACGAAAAUUCGGCCCGUUAGAUAGUGUUUCAGCUUUUCCCUUUGAGACCUUUUUAGGUUAGCUGAAAAAACUUGUCCGUCGGCCUCAAAAUCCUGUCGAACUACUCGUCAGGCGGAUCCAUAAGAAGCAGAAAGUGGCAAGCCAAAAGACCACAUCCGUUUUCAGCCCACUUAAACUGUACUUUUUCAGGACCGUUGAUUAAUUCAAUUGCAACAUGGGAACAACACAGGCGUUACAAUGAUGGCCAGACACUGAUCUUCUCCUCUCGUGGCGAUGACUAUUUUUCUGUAGGGGGAAGGAUUCUUAUUAUGCGCAACAUUUUGUCCCAUUCUGGAACUGUUAAAGUCCUGUGUAAUUUCUUUGAAACUGCCAAAUCCUUUUUCACCUAUCCAAUGGACUCAUCAUGCCUUGGAAUUCUUUUUGUUUUAAUUUAUCUGAAGACUUGCAGCUGUUACCUGUGGAGGAGUUAAAAAAAAAAUUGUGUUAUUGCCACUCAAGACUGGAUAUGUGGCAUUGCCACUCCUGCACUAAUUUUUUAUUUUUUUUUGUAUGUAUUUUUUUUUCUUUAAGCAUGUUCCCUUUUGCAAUAGUAGACUUUAUGAAUAAUGGAGGAUUGGCAGUUAUACCUACCAAAUGGUUUAUCGGGCCUGAGGAGGAUGAAUGCUACUGGCCACCACCAAGAAUGAACAUGGCAAAGGCGGUCAUAGAGCAACAGGACCCUCACACUGACUGGGAGACAUACAAGUUGACUGUCAAAAGAAAACAACAUAUGAAAUUGCCCGCACAAAAUUAGUCGAGUAUGAAGAGAACACAGAUGUACCAACCGAGUCCGAUUCUACAGAGAAGACGGGAAGGGGGAAGCGCAAAAAGAGGCGAGUGAUUUUGUCCAGUGAGGAUGAGGAUGAUGACAAUUGGUCCGCCAGCUAAAUCAGGCCUACACCUCCAUCCACCCUCAGUGCACCGGCUCCAUCCUCCCUCAGAUCUGUGCUUCCACUUCCACUGCCUCCACCCACCCUGAGGUCUGUGCAGACACCUGCACCACCUCCAUCCACCCUCAGGUCUUCACCUCCAUCUGCUAGGCCGACACUUCCACCACCUGUGGGUAACCUUAGAUGGCCCCAUGUUUCAACCCAUCAUCACGUCACCAGAAACCCCUCGAAGGCAAAUCAGGGAAAACAUGUUUGUUCGCAUCUUAACGCUGCUUGAGGAGAUAAAAGAGACACAAAGAAUCCAGGGGAGGAUGCUACAAACGCUUCUACAACAGCGUGGCAACAUGAGCACCACCGUCUCUUCUACCCCAGAGGGUUUGCCCUUAAAGACAGUUAGGGAUGUGGAAAUCAUGGAAGAAAAACUGUCAAACCCAAACUUCAUGUCCGAACUGGUUGCAGCUGUGACUGACAUAGGGGGGGGGGGACUGUUGACGAGGCCACAAAAAGGAUGAUGACCUUUCUCCUAGAUCAUGGCCUAUCCAGGCAGUAUAACUUUGUGGGCCGAAAUGGGAAGAGAGAGUUCAAGGCCUUAAAACUGUAUGAAGUGAUAUAUGGAGGCUUAAAGAAAAACGGCAUGACCAGCCAAAUCACCCGUAAAGAUGCCGAGAAGGCCGUCUCCAAGUGGCUCAUUGGUGCUAGGGACCGGGGGGGUAAUCGACAGGCCUGACUGGCAACCCCUCAACAAGGACUUCAGGCUUCAGGCUCCUUAGAGGUGGAAAGAAGCUAAUUCUGUCUGUGACAGUAAGGGAACAUUGCAAAAGCAUGUGAUUAAAAAAACGUGAUUAAUUGUAUCACUGGUCUAUAA